rnacentral:rRNA from 1 species
AGAACGAACGCUGGCGGCAUGCCUAACACAUGCAAGUCGAACGAGACCUUCGGGUCUAGUGGCGCACGGGUGCGUAACGCGUGGGAACCUGCCUUUAGGUUCGGAAUAACUCCUCGAAAGGGGUGCUAAUACCGAAUAAUGUCUUCGGACCAAAGAUUUAUCGCCUUUAGAUGGGCCCGCGUUGGAUUAGCUAGUUGGUGGGGUAAAGGCCUACCAAGGCGACGAUCCAUAGCUGGUCUUAGAGGAUGAUCAGCCACACUGGGACUGAGACACGGCCCAGACUCCUACGGGAGGCAGCAGUGGGGAAUAUUGCACAAUGGGCGGAAGCCUGAUGCAGCGACGCCGCGUGAGGGAUGACGGCCUUCGGGUUGUAAACCUCUUUCGACAGGGACGAAGCGAGAGUGACGGUACCUGGAGAAGAAGCACCGGCCAACUACGUGCCAGCAGCCGC